rnacentral:rRNA from 1 species
UACGAAGGGGGCUAGCGUUGCUCGGAAUCACUGGGCGUAAAGCGCACGUAGGCGGGUCCUUAAGUCAGGGGUGAAAUCCUGGAGCUCAACUCCAGAACUGCCUUUGAUACUGGGAAUCUCGAGUCCGGGAGAGGUGAGUGGAACUGCGAGUGUAGAGGUGAAAUUCGUAGAUAUUCGCAAGAACACCAGUGGCGAAGGCGGCUCACUGGCCCGGUACUGACGCUGAGGUGCGAAAGCGUGGGGAGCAAACAGG